ACAACGGUGACGUCAAAAGCCCAGUGGGGCAGGUUCGGAGUCGCCCCGCUCCCAACGCGCCCCCCAGUGGACCGGCCUGCAGGGUGGCGCGGCAGGUUGAGGUUGACCCUGGGGGCCGAGGCCGGUCCCGCCCGCUGAGCUGGUCCCGGCCGAAGUGGCGCUCGGCCCUGAGGAGCGGCGGCUUUGCGGGGCUGAAGCUAACCCCCCGAGACGUAGCGCUGCUCCCGUCAAGCUUAGGGGCUCUGUAGGAAUUUACCCUGGGCUUCAGCCUGGCUGGGUUGGGGAGUUCGGAAGGUAACUAAACCCUGGAUAGCGGAUUUUCAAAGAGUUUCCUAAAAAUCAGAGGUUGGCUGUAAUGGCGCUUCUCCAGCACCGUCCAUCCCGGGAUCUCAAAGCACUUUCCCAACAACAAUCGGGAUUAAAUCCAACCACGCCUGUGAGGUUUCUGAUGUAGAUGGGAUUCCAGAAAGGAUAUACCCUCUCUGAUCCAAAAGCCCGGACACCCAGAAGAGGGAGGCCAGACAGGUCCAGAAGCAGGUUGCUAUUGCACUGUGGAAACUUUCUACCCCAGACUACUACAGCUCUCUGAAUUUUUGAUUGUAACCUUCUCCUGGAACAUAGUCGCCAAGACCAAUGGUGCUCAGGGAAAUGAAACAAAAGUAAAAAGAUUCCAAAAAGUUCCAGUCAUCUUCCACAACAGAAAAUACUGCUGCCGGGAUAAAGAAAAAGCAUGAGACGGUAACAAACCCAAGAAUCACUGCGUGGAUGAUGGCAACAAUCUGCUUGGAGAAGCCCCAGCGAAUGUGGAAAUAUAGUACAGGCCGUCUGGUGACAUAGACUAUGAUACGCUGCACCACAGCUGUCAGGAAAAGCAGCGUAAAGGGGAUUCCGAUGACGGAGUAUAUAAUACAGAAGGCCUUUCCUCCAUCCGACAAAGGCACAGUGUGACCAUAACCUGGGGGAGGGAAAAACAAAAAAACAGAGGAAGGGUGUAUAUGAAAUGUGGAAAAUAAAUUGGAACAGGCACAUACCACCAGUGGGGAACUCAGUUGCUACAUCUGUGACUGUGUAGUAUUAUGUUAAAUACAAAGAACCUUUCACAAAACUUUGAACUCUGCUAUACUUUAAAUGUACUGCUAUCAAGGAUAAUUUUAAACUAUUGGUACAGCCAGACUAUUGGGGGUUAACAGCUACAUAUAAAGUACAAAGCAUAAGGGAAAACAUUUUUCAAAACUGCAUGUUAUUAAAACAAUGUAUAUUUUGGAGAAAGGGUGUGUUGUCUAGUAUUCAGAGCGUGAGACCAGAGAUCAAGACAUCUGGGUUCUAUUUCUGGUUCUCCUACAGACUUACUGUUUGACCUUCGGCAAGUGACCUGGACACAGAUCCUGAAAAGGUAUUUAGGCACUUUUCCAUUAAUUUUAAUGGAAGUACCUAAAUACCUUUGAGGAUCUGGGCCUUAAACUUUCUUUGCUUCAAUUUACUGAUCUGUCAAAAGGGGAUAAUACUUACCACACAAGGGUGUUUUUGGGCUUAACUGAUUGUAAAAUACUUUCAGAUCUUCAGAAGGAAGGUGUUAAAAAUGCGAAGUAUUAUUGUAAUUAGUACUUCACGUUGCAUUUUUUCCAUAGGUUGUUUCAAUGAUAAUCCCCUAAGAAUAUUUAAAAACAAAAUAAACCUCCAUAGCAAAAAUAGUAGCUUGAAGGCUGGACCUUCACCAGGUCACUGGUGUAUUGUAAGUGACAAUAGUAAUCUGUCUAAUUUAGAAUGUAGGAAUUUAUACAGUGCUGUACGGGCUGCUGAUGACAAUGUAUGCAAUUAUGCUAGUCCCAGGCUAGAAAGUGCAGCAUGCCAGACUGUUUGGUUUUAAAAGUAAACCACAAGUACAAUAAAUCCACUAAACCAGAAAUGUUUUCUUCUGUCAGCUGACAAAAUUAAUAUUUUACUGUUAUUGUAGUGGGGUAGGGGAAGUCUCCUGCAAUCUACGGAGGUUAAUCACACCAAUAGAAAGACAUGUAGUAAUAUAACUCCAAGCAAGUUGUAGCCAAUUGCUUCAUUUUAUCAUUCAUUUAUUGUGUGAAGUUAUGAUUAACUAAUAUACUGUAUUAUACAAUCACUGUAUGCUAAAUAGAGUUAAAUUGUAGUAUUAUAGAAGUAUAAGAUGAAUCAGUAUUUAGACAUGAUAAGUAUGCAUUAGGUAUCUAAGCAGGGCUGAAACACCAGGCCUACAAGCUGAGGCCUGUAUGAGUUUAGCCAUACUAGGCUAUAUGCUUAAGAAAUGCUUGACAUAAGUGAGUGACCAAAGAAUGACCCUUUGCCACAAAAUUACGAAAAAAGAUAUACCAGUGGGUAGUAUUGCAAAAAAUUAACUGUAAGAUUAAUUUUUGAUGACAAGAUACCUGGUAGUCACCUUUUUCUAACACAUGUUCUAACUGCAGGGUGCACUAUGUGCACAAAUGCUAAUGAGAACAAAAAGAUCUACACACAAGCUAUGAAAAAUGGGGUAUCCCAAUAUUCUUGGGGGACACAAUACAAAUAUGGGAAAAGAGGGUUGACUUUCAUGCACAUGUGCAGAGUAUAAGGUAUAGUCAGAAUCACAUUAUAAAAGAGGGGGCUCCCUGAUUGGGUAAAAUGAGUUCCCUAUGGGAAAACUCCAGCAGGAACCAUCCCUCUACUGAUGAUCAAUUGGCAAGGCAUCCAUCAGACCUCAAGAAUAUCAUUAAGGAUGUGAUUAUGACUAUAUUUGUAGCAUGGUUUUUUGUAGGAUUUCUAUAUGCAUGGGUAAUCAUAACCUUAACUGUAACUUUAAUAAAACUUGUAAAACAGA